UACAGAGGGUGCAAGCGUUAAUCGGAUUUACUGGGCGUAAAGCGUGCGUAGGCGGUUUGUUAAGUCGGUUGUGAAAGCCCUGGGCUCAACCUGGGAAUUGCAGUCGAUACUGGCAGGCUAGAGAACGGUAGAGGGAGGCGGAACUCCAGGUGUAGCGGUGAAAUGCGUAGAUAUUGGGAAGAACACCGGUGGCGAAGGCGGCGACCUGGUCCGAUACUGACGCUGAGGCGCGAAAGCGUGGGGAGCAAACAGG
rnacentral:rRNA from 1 species